CCUACGGAAGGCAGCAGUGCGGAAUCUUGCGCAAUGGGGGAAAGCCUGACGCAGCCAUGCCGCGAGAAUGAUGAAGGUCUUAGGAUAGUAAAAUUCUUUCACCGGGGACGAUAAUGACGGUACCCGGAGAAGAAGCCCCGGCUAACUUCGUCCCAGCAGCCGCGGUAAUACGAAGGGGGCUAGCGUUGUUCGGAAUUACUGGGCGUAAAGGGAGCGUAGGCGGACUGUUUAGUCAGAGGUGAAAGCCCAGGGCUCAACCUGGGAAUUGCCUUUGAUACUGGCAGUCUUGAGUACGGAAGAGGUAUGUGGAAUUCCGAGUGUAGAGGUGAAAUUCGUAGAUAUUCGGAAGAACACCAGUGGCGAAGGCGACAUCCUGGUCCGUUACUGACGCUGAGGCUCGAAAGCGUGGGGAGCAAACAGGAUUAGAUACCCUGGUAGUCCACGCCGUAAACGAUGAGUGCUAGUUGUCGGCAUGCAUGCAUGUCGGUGACGCA
rnacentral:rRNA from 1 species